rnacentral:rRNA from 1 species
ACUACGGGGGGCAGCAGUGGGGGAUAUUGGACAAUGGGGGGAACCCUGAUCCAGCGACGCCGCGUGAGUGAAGAAGUAUUUCAGUAUGUAAAGCUCUGUCAGCAGGGAAGAAAGAAAUGACGGUACCUGACCAAGAAGCCCCGGCUAACUACGUGCCAGCAGCCGCGGUAAUACGUAGGGGGCAAGCUUUAUCCGGAAUUACUGGGUGUAAAGGGAGCGUAGACGGUUAAGUAAGUCUGGAGUGAAAGGCCGGGGCCCAACCCCGGGACUGCUCUGGAAACUAUUGAACUUGAGUGCAGGAGAGGUAAGCGGAAUUCCUAGUGGAGCGGUGAAAUGCGUAGAUAUUAGGAGGAACACCAGUGGCGAAGGCGGCUUACUGGACUGUAACUGACGUUGAGGCUCGAAAGCGUGGGGAGCAAACAGGAUUAGAUACCCUGGUAGUC